rnacentral:rRNA from 1 species
GGGGAAUAUUGGGCAAUGGGCGCAAGCCUGACCCAGCAACGCCGCGUGAAGGAAGAAGGCUCUCGGGUUGUAAACUUCUUUUAUUCGGGACGAAAAAAAUGACGGUACCGCAAGAAUAAGCCCCGGCUAACUUCGUGCCAGCAGCCGCGGUAAUACGAAGGGGGCUAGCGUUGCUCGGAAUCACUGGGCGUAAAGGGUGCGUAGGCGGGUUUCUAAGUCAGAGGUGAAAGCCUGGAGCUCAACUCCAGAACUGCCUUUGAUACUGGAAGUCUUGAGUUCGGGAGAGGUGAGUGGAACUGCGAGUGUAGAGGUGAAAUUCGUAGAUAUUCGCAAGAACACCAGUGGCGAAGGCGGCUCACUGGCCCGAUACUGACGCUGAGGCACGAAAGCGUGGGGAGCAAACA